AUUGAACGCUGGCGGCAGGCCUAACACAUGCAAGUCGAGCGGAUGAAGGGAGCUUGCUCCUGGAUUCAGCGGCGGACGGGUGAGUAAUGCCUAGGAAUCUGCCUGGUAGUGGGGGAUAACGUCCGGAAACGGGCGCUAAUACCGCAUACGUCCUGAGGGAGAAAGUGGGGGAUCUUCGGACCUCACGCUAUCAGAUGAGCCUAGGUCGGAUUAGCUAGUUGGUGGGGUAAAGGCCUACCAAGGCGACGAUCCGUAACUGGUCUGAGAGGAUGAUCAGUCAGACUGGAACUGAGACACGGUCCAGACUCCUACGUGGGGAGGGAGUGAGGAAUAUUGGACAAUAGGCGAAAGCCUGAUCCAGCCAUGCCGCGUGUGUGAAGAACGUCUUCGGAUUGUAAAGCACUUUAAGUUGGGAUGAAAGGCAGUAAGUUAAUACCUUGCUGUUUUGACGUUACCAACAGAAGAAGCACCGGCUAACUUCGUG
rnacentral:rRNA from 1 species